rnacentral:lncRNA from 1 species
CCCAGGUUCAAGCGAUUCUCCUGCCUCAGCCUCCCGAGUAGCUGGGAUUACAGACAUGCUAAGCUACCUGCCACCACGCCUAGCUAAUUUUUUUAUACUUUUAUUAGAGACAGGGGUUUCACUAUGUUGACCAGGGUGGUCUUGAAUUCCUGACCUCAAGUGAUCUGCUUACCUCAGCCUCCUAAAGUACUGGGAUUACAGGCAUGAGCCACCACGCUCAGCCUAAGGUUCUGACUUUCUAAUAAGCUCCCAGCUGAUAUAGACACUGCUGGUCCUUGGAAUAAGAAGGGUAGAAGUAGCUACCUAGAUAGCUACUAGAUAGCUAGGAGUAUCUAAAACGUUCCAAAGUGCCAUGUUUUCUUAGUUUUUAAGAUUUUUUUUCCUCCACUGCUGUCACUUCUUGUUGCUAUUAACUUGCCUAUUUUUUACCAGCCUCUUCCCUCACUUCUGUCAAGGGCUGAAACCAGAUUAAUCAAGGGUCUAAGAAGCAUGUUUAAAGCGAUGGUAAAGCACCUGGCCUCGGUAACUUAUCGUUUCAUUUGAAGAAGCAGCUUUGCUUAUGUUCUGGUUCUCAAUGGGCUCCACAGAGGAGAGCUAUUUAUAUGUAUACCAUUUAGAGGCAUAAAGUUUUACUACAUUUAAAGAUUGGUAUAUACCAUUUUAUGUUACUUAGCAUAAACAAUUUUAAGUUAAAAGCAAUAUCAUAUAAGGAGGUAGAAGCACUUCGGUGUGUUGAAAAACCUCCAUUCUUUUCAAUAACAUAUUCAGACACGGACAGGGUGACUUAAGUAUAUAAAAAGUCAAAAGACAAAUUUUAAAAAGAUUAAUGAUCAGGAAUUCAGGAAUUGUUAACUGGCCUAUGUAUCCCUUAACUGGGAUACAAAAUUGUGCCCACAUGGGCAUUUUUCUAGGGAGGUCUUUUGAUUCCUGAAACCCAUCUCUUACUAUUCAGGUUAAGUGCCUGGGUAGCCACUGAGCAUCUGACUUGAUGAAGCCCCACCAGGUGAUUCUGGCAGUCAGCCAGGCAUAGGAACUGCUGGGAUGGAUAUAUUGCCCUCAAUCUAAGUGCACAGCUUUUGAUUCACUCUCUCACUGGCUCACUCUCUCUCUGUCUCUCUUGCUUGCUCUCUCGCUCUCUCUGUCUCAAUCUUUGUCUCAUUCUCUCGCUGUCUCUCUCGCUCUCUGUCUCUCUUGCUCUGUCUCUCUCUGUGUCUCUUGCUCUGUCUCGCUCUCUUGCUCUGUCUCACUGUCUCUCGCUCACUGUCUGUCUCACUCUUUUGCUCUCUCUCGCUCUCUCGCUCUGUCUCGCUCUCUCUCGCUCUCUCGCUCUGUCUCGCUCUCUCUCGCUCGCUCUCUGUCUCACUCUUUUGCUCUCUCUGUCUCUCUGUCUCUUUCACUCUGUCUCUCUCAGUCUCUCCCUGAAUCUCUCGCUCUCUGUCUCGCUCUGUCUCUCUUGCUCUCUCUCGCUCUUUCGCUGUCUCUCUCGCUCUUUGUCUCUUGCUCUCUGUCUCUUGCUCUGUCUCGCUCUCUCGCUCUGUCUCUCUCUUGCUUGCUCUCUGUCUCACUCUUUCCCUCUGUCUCUUUCACUCUUCCUGUCUCUCUCUCGCUCUCUGUCUCUCUCGCUCUGUCUCACUCUCUCUGUCUCACUCUCUCGCUCUGUCUCUCUCUUGCUUGCUCUGUCUCACUCUUUUGCUCUGUCUCUUUCACUCUCCCUGUCUGUCUCUCUUGCUCUCACUCUGUCUCACUCUGUCUCACUCUGUCUCACUCUCUCUGUCUUGCUCUCUCUGUCUCUCGCUCUUUUGCUGUGUCUCUCGCUCUCUCUGUGUGUCUCUCUCUCACUCUCUUGCUCUGUCUCUCUCGCUCUUUCGCUCUGUCUCGCUCUCUGUGUCUCUCGCUCUCUCUCUG